ensembl:lncRNA
GUAUAGUAUAUACCAACAUAUUUAUAGCAAAUAUGUUACAGAAUAGCAGCAGUAGAAACAGUAGGUAUCACUUGGGGAAUCAAUGCAAAAACUACGGUAACCAAAUGUAAUAAUGUGUAGUAAGAAAAGACAAAAGGAAUUUACAGAAAUGUGUGAAGAUUUAACCAUAAAAAUAAGAUACACCCAAAAUUUGUAGUUUCAUUAAGGAUUCUUUGGGAACUUUUGUUCAAGAUUUUAUCAUAAAAAUUUUCUGAGAAGGCAGCAGAGGAUAGGACCAAAAGGACUUGGGUUUAAUUCCACCUUCUAGCUCUCCCACUCAAACUCCAAGGCUUUACUAUUUAGCUCUAAACCUAUGGUAUGAUUUGUAUGAAUUGGCCAAGAAGGAAAGAAGCAGAACCAAAGAAUAAUAAAUGCAAUAAUUCAGAUGAUUAAAUAACAGAUUUAGAGCUGGCAGGGGCAUUGAAAGCCAUUUAAGAACUUUAAGGUCUUAAAGUUAGCUUCAGAGAAGGGAUUUGAACCUGGGUCCUCUCACUUCAGUCAGUGCUCUUUCCACUAUUGUGCAUUGUUUCACUAUUAUCACAACAUAAAUGAGAUUAAUAACAGAAAGUCAAACUCUGAGGAUAGAAAGCAAAAUGUCUCUCUCUCUUAAUGGCACAAUGUGAAAUAUAUGGUCAGAUAAAGUUACAAUGUAAGGGUUUUGUGUGUGUGUGUGUGUGUGUGUGUGUGUGGAAUUCAUAAUUUCCUGUCAUAAAUGAAGAUUCAGUGGGAAUGGGACAAGGUUAAGAAAUGAUUUGUAUAAGACAUCAAUAAAAUGUAAUUUUAAAACAAUAAAAACCCCUUAAAAUGGAAGUUACAAUUCUUCCCCAACUGGUAAUCCAAAUGAUAUAUAAAGCAUAUGGUAUAUAGUUACGCCUGUCCUCGAGGAACUUACAUUGUAUAUAUAAACUCCUUGAGCAUAGCAAUGUUUUGUCAUUGUUUUGCCAUUGCCUAGCACGUUGCCAUACACACACACACACACACACGUUCAUAUAUAUAAUAGGCAUUUAAAUAAAGGUUUAUUGAAUUGGAGAAAAAAAGAAAUUAAAUCCAACUAUCAAGAUCAAAGUUAACAAGAAAACCUCCUCUAAGACUGCACUUUGUUUCACCAAAGCAAGAGAUGCUAUAUGUAUGUUUACAAGGGGCCACAAGACAGGGAAACCCAACAUUAUUGACCAAUUUCCUCUAUGUUGAGUAUACAAAAUCACAAUGUAAGAGUACUGCUAUUUUAGACAGAAAACAACAGCUGACAGCCAAUUUGGGAUAAGUGCCAAGCUGUAUUUGCUUGAUGUUGAGAGCAUAGUAUAGUGAAAAAAGAACUGGCUUUGAAUUUAAGAGAAUAAAGAUUCAAAUCCUGUUUCUGAUACCAACUGUGACUGUGGGCAAAUUAAAUUUCUGGAGGUAUUAGUUUUCUCAAUGUAAAAUUUUCUAGAUGGCUUUUGUGGUCUCCUCAAGUUCAAGAUUUAUGAUCUUAUCAAUUUAUCAAAUAACUUCAACAACAUAGCUUUUCAAAAAAAAAUGUCUAUUCUUAGUCAUAUUUCACAUUAAUCACUCAAAACAGAUUAAGACCAGGCUAUGCCUCUUUGAUACAUUAGCUAUUUAAGAAAUUUUUAAUGCUCUUAAUCUUACAUAAGCAUAUUUCAGUUGCUUUCAAUAGCAUAUACAAAGAUAUAUUUCAUGAGUGAAGUUAGUUCAGUACAUUUUAAACAUGUCAGUUUUCUUGGUUUGUAAUAUAUCAAUCACAAAAGAGAACAAAGCAAAAAAAUAAGCUGAAAUGAUCAAAUCCUUAGAUAUACUCUUAGUGGUAGGCCAGUCAAUUUAAAAAAAACAGACAUAAAGUCAAAUACUGCUGCUCUGUACAACUUAAGUAAUAGCCCCUUAUUUUGAAGCAGAAAGGGGGAAUAAUUGAAAAAAAAAAACCUGCACGCUAACAGUAACUGUGAUGUGUCUUAAGUAUAUCACUCAGAUGCUCUGCUUAGGAGUUUGGCCUUGCCAAAAAGGCAAUAAAAAUGACCAGAGUAAUACACAAAACAGCUGGAAGCCUGAAAUAAAAUCUCUAUAUAAAAGUCCCAAGCCAUUCACAGUUUAAAAUUGAUGUCUCCUUGCCUGAGAAUUAACCUAUAGUUUUCUUCUGAAAAAAUUCCCAAAUAUGGCAAGUAUCUAAUUGCAUUCAAGCAUCAAUUUUGCUUGUGUUUUGUUAAUAAUUAAAAAAAAAAUAUUUAUUUGUAUUUCUCAGUUUCUGCCUCAUAAAAAGUAUUUUUAUAGCUAUGUUUCAAACUACAAUUAACAUGCCUUUUUACAUACCAGUAGAAUCAUGUCCAAUUUUGCCAUUUGUGAAUAACUAUGACAAGAUACAAAAGCAUGUGUCUGCCAUAAAUAGCUCUGGCUAACAGUAAACUGCUCACACAGGGCAGAUCAAAUUCUCUAUAAGAGUAGCCUUUGGAACUCUACCAAAUCCCCCAACUAAUGUUAAAACUUGAUUAUCAAAAUCGUAUUCAUUUUAGUUUUUAGAAUUUAAAAAGAGUUUAUAAAAGAAACCCUGUACCAAGAAUAUUAUUAUAUUCUUCAAAGAAAGACUAUUUCCCAAGUUCUGUCCAACACAACAAAGGAAGACAAAGACUGCCAACUGUCUUGAAAU